rnacentral:rRNA from 1 species
UACGGAGGGUGCAAGCGUUAUCCGGAUUCACUGGGUUUAAAGGGUGCGUAGGUGGGUCUGUAAGUCAGUGGUGAAAUCUCAGAGCUUAACUCUGAAACUGCCAUUGAUACUAUAGGUCUUGAAUUUCCUGGAGGUUAGCGGAAUAUGUCAUGUAGCGGUGAAAUGCUUAGAUAUGACAUAGAACACCGAUUGCGAAGGCAGCUGACUAUAGGUAGAUUGACACUGAGGCACGAAAGCGUGGGGAUCAAACAGG